rnacentral:rRNA from 1 species
AACGAACGCUGGCGGCAUGCCCAACACAUGCAAGUCGAACGAGACCUUCGGGUCUAGUGGCGCACGGGUGCGUAACGCGUGGGAACCUGCCCUUAGGUUCGGAAUAACUCCCCGAAAGGGGUGCUAAUACCGGAUAAUGUCUUCGGACCAAAGAUUUAUCGCCUUUGGAUGGGCCCGCGUUAGAUUAGCUAGUUGGUAGGGUAAAAGCCUACCAAGGCGACGAUCCAUAGCUGGUCUGAGAGGAUGAUCAGCCACACUGGGACUGAGACACGGCCCAGACUCCUACGGGAGGCAGCAGUGGGGAAUAUUGGACAAUGGGCGAAAGCCUGAUCCAGCAAUGCCGCGUGAGUGAUGAAGGCCUUAGGGUUGUAAAGCUCUUUUACCCGGGAUGAUAAUGACAGUACCGGGAGAAUAAGCUCCGGCUAACUCCG